AUUGAACGCUGGCGGCAUCCCUAACACAUGCAAGUCGAACGGGGCAGCAAUGCCUAGUGGCGGACGGGUGAGGAACACGUAGGAAUCUGCCCUUAAGUGGGGGAUAACCAGGGGAAACCCUGACUAAUACCGCAUGAUCCCUUCGGAGCAAAGAGGGGGACCGCAAGGCCUCUCGCUUCUGGAUGAGCCUACGUCUGAUUAGCUAGUUGGUAGGGUAAAGGCCUACCAAGGCGACGAUCAGUAACUGGUCUGAGAGGAUGAUCAGUCACACCGGAACUGAGACACGGUCCGGACUCCUACGGGAGGCAGCAGUGGGGAAUAUUGGACAAUGGGCGCAAGCCUGAUCCAGCAAUGCCGCGUGUGUGAAGAAGGCCUUCGGGUUGUAAAGCACUUUAGCCUGGAAAGAAAAAACUUUGGUUAACACCCAAAGUCUUGACGGUACCAGGAGAAUAAGCACCGGCUAACUCUGUGCCAGCCGCCGCUGUAACAC
rnacentral:rRNA from 1 species